GUUACGUACUAUGAUAAAAAGCUAGUCCUUAAUGUUGACGGUUCUCUUGUUUGGGGGAGACUUCUACAAUGGGUGUUAAAAGGUGAUUAGCGGUGUUUUUUCCGUCUACGUGGCUACUAAUGGAUCAAAUUGAGGAGCUGAGGCUGAUAGCAGCGUGGUUGACUGAGGAGGGCUGUGUCACUGGCUCUAAAGAAGCUCAGCUGUGUGCACUAUGGCGCGCUCUCCAGCACACAAAGGAUCAUCUGAUCAAAGUGACAAAUAACCUGGAAACGCAGAGAUCACAGCACUGUGGAGAAAUGGCAGAGGUUCGUAAGUCGCUGGAGCAGAUCCGGAUCUUCACUCAGCACAAAGAUGUUUUGGCUCAAGAGAUACAGGAUGAAAACGAUCAGCUCAAAAAUCAGCUUAAGCGCCUCAUAUCUCUUCAAGAUGCUCAGAUAAGUGAGGUGGCCAAAAUGCUGCACCAGCAGGGCCUGACUGAGCUAAUGCACAGUAGCCCCAGUGAGCAGGUAGCCUAUCUGCUGGUGGAGAGGGCAUCCCUACUGGAAACCAGUGAGAAUCCCACCAAACCAAAGCUUGAUGAAAGCUCCUCCCACCUGCAGGUCACUGAAGCACUGAUGUUGAACACUAGUGGGCGCCAGACAGGUCACAAGGUGGUGCUACGUCAUGCACAAAGCUCCUGGAGAAGACUGUUUGGACUUCAUAAAGCUUCACAGAGCAAGCAUACCUUUAUCCCUACACAGGUCAGACAUGCAGCUGAUCAGUCAAGUUUGGAGAAGCAGUGCUCCCGCCUGGAGCGGGACCUGGAGGAGGGCUCCCGCCGGCUGGCAAUGGCUCACAAUGAGAUCCGGCAUUUGACUGAUGAGCUGGAGUCAGCCCAUAUGACCCAACGAACAUAUGAGCCUGAGCUUCAAUCAGCACAGCAGGAGGUUGAGCAACUCAGACACCAAGUGGAAAAACUGAAGACGUAUGAAAUGGUUGAGCUGCGAAAGGUGAAGGGGGCGAAUGAUCAUCUUGACCUGGAGAUACGAGCGUUAAGAAGCCGUGUGCGCUGCCUGGAUGCUGAGAAAACCUCCCUGCAGGAAAAGGUGGCGUCCCUGCAGGAGAAGGUCAAGGAGUUACAGUCUGCUCUGCAGGAGCAGCAGAUUCCCACUGUCCAGGUUGGAGUCCAGACCACAGAGAAGACUCGGGAGCAGGUGGAGCGGCUCAAAUCCUUCCUGCAGGAGCAUGGACAGCAGCUCCUCGUCACACAGGCUCAGGCCCAGCGAGAAGAUGAAUUAGCUAAAAUGCAUUCUCUCCAACAGCUGUGGGAUGAUUCUCAUCCUGGAACGAUAACUAACCUUAGUGCUAACAUGUGCAUCAAAGACAGCAGCUUCCAGAACCAUAUUUUGUGCACAGAGCCUUGUGAAGACACUCCCUCUCAUUUAGAAGAUGCCGUAAUGACGGAGCUGCACAAAGGAAACUCUCUAGAGGAGCAGGAGGGCGCUGGUUACAAGGAAGCUGUAUCCACUCUUAAGAAAGAGAUCUGUGAAACCUUACGAUGUCUCAACAAAGAACAAAGUAAAUACUUUGAGAUGAGAGAAAGACACAGAGUGAAGCUGUGCCGAGCCAAACAGAAGUUUGCAGACAUGACUGACUGCUAUAACAAGAAGAUUAAACACCUAGAGAGGGAGCUAUCCCUCUGCUCUCACUCAUUGUUGAAGAAGAAAGAGCUCAUGCAGAACAUGAAUGAGGAAAACGAGAAGCUCCUUUUUGAGAGAAGCAGGCUGCUACUAAAGCUGGACGAGGAGGAGCACAACAAGAAAGCCACGCAACUGUCAUCCCUGCUGUCCAAACACAGGCUGCAGUUUUUGGAGGAGGAGAACAUGAAACUGGGAAACCAGGUGUCUCACCAAUCCAAUCAGCUCGCAGUGCUGCAGCGUUGCCUAAAGAAGGUCCAGUUGCUUCCCUUUGCAGAAGAAGUGAAAAAAAGUUUAAACCAGCAGCUGUUCUUCACUCCACCUCCUGAGCAGACUUUAAGUGGGAUGCAGCUCACUCAGCGCUCAUCAUUGGACGGUGAUCGCAACGGUGAUGACACACUCACAGGUGGGACCUCCUCCUCUGGCAGCUGUUCUUUGGGGCCUUUGUGUCGAUCAGCAGAGAUGGGCUACCUGAACGUGACCACACAGAGUCACACAGACUCCUCCUCUCACCAAGUCGCCCACAGCUUCGAUGAUAGUUUGCCCACCUGAAGGCUAAAUAUAUUUUAACACCGUACAGUCCACAAAAGCUUUAUUUUUUUAUAUACAGUAUGAAAUUAUGGUAAUAAUUUUAGUGCAAAACUUUAGUUACAAAGAACUUAAACCACACACACGAUCACAUACAUACAAAUAAUGACAAGAUUUCAAACAUAUGCAAAAAUCACAAUUUAAAAAUCAGACAAAAAAUAAAACAAUAUUUAAUAAAAUCCA
rnacentral:lncRNA from 1 species